rnacentral:rRNA from 1 species
AGCGAACGCUGGCGGCAGGCUUAACACAUGCAAGUCGAGCGGGCAUCCUUGUGGUGUCAGCGGCAGACGGGUGAGUAACGCGUGGGAACGUGCCCUUCGGUUCGGAAUAACUCAGGGAAACUUGAGCUAAUACCGGAUACGUGCGAGAGCAGAAAGGUUUAUCUGCCGAAGGAUCGGCCCGCGUCUGAUUAGCUAGUUGGUGAGGUUAUGGCUCACCAAGGCGACGAUCAGUAGCUGGUCUGAGAGGAUGAUCAGCCACACUGGGACUGAGACACGGCCCAGACUCCUACGGAAGGCAGCAGUGGGGAAUAUUGGACAAUGGGGCAACCCUGAUCCAGCCAUGCCGCGUGAGUGAUGACGGCCUUAGGGUUGUAAAGCUCUUUUCUCCGGGACGAUAAUGACGGUACCGGAGGAAUAAGCCCCGGCUAACUUCGU